rnacentral:rRNA from 1 species
UGCAGUCGAGGGGUAUAUUUCUUCGGAGAUAGAGACCGGCGCACGGGUGCGUAACGCGUAUGCAAUCUACCUUUUACAGAGGGAUAGCCCAGAGAAAUUUGGAUUAAUACCUCAUAGCAUAGCAGCUUCGCAUGAAGCCACUAUUAAAGUCACAACGGUAAAAGAUGAGCAUGCGUCCCAUUAGCUAGUUGGUAAGGUAACGGCUUACCAAGGCUACGAUGGGUAGGGGUCCUGAGAGGGAGAUCCCCCACACUGGUACUGAGACACGGACCAGACUCCUACGGGAGGCAGCAGUGAGGAAUAUUGGACAAUGGGCGCAAGCCUGAUCCAGCCAUGCCGCGUGCAGGAUGACGGUCCUAUGGAUUGUAAACUGCUUUUAUGCGAGAAGAAACACUGCUUCGUGAAGCAGCUUGACGGUAUCGUAAGAAUAAGGAUCGGCUAACUCCGUGCCAGCAGCCGCGGUAAUACGGAGGAUCCAAGCGUUAUCCGGAAUCAUUGGGUUUAAAGGGUCCGUAGGCGGUUUGGUAAGUCAGUGGUGAAAGCCCAUCGCUCAACGGUGGAACGGCCAUUGAUACUGCCAGACUUGAAUUAUUAGGAAGUAACUAGAAUAUGUAGUGUAGCGGUGAAAUGCUUAGAGAUUACAUGGAAUACCAAUUGCGAAGGCAGGUUACUACUAAUGGAUUGACGCUGAUGGACGAAAGCGUGGGUAGCGAACAGGAUUAGAUACCCUGGUAGUCCACGCCGUANACGAUGGAUACUAGCUGUUGGAAGCAAUUUCAGUGGCUAAGCGAAAGUGAUAAGUAUCCCACCUGGGGAGUACGUUCGCAAGAAUGAAACUCAAAGGAAUUGACGGGGGCCCGC